rnacentral:rRNA from 1 species
GUGAGUAGUUCAGAGUUUGAUCCUGGCUCAGGAUGAACGCUAGCUACAGGCUUAACACAUGCAAGUCGAGGGGCAGCGGGAGAAAGCUUGCUUUUCUUGCCGGCGACCGGCGCACGGGUGAGUAACGCGUAUCCAACCUACCCUCCAGCAGGGGAUAGCCCGUAGAAAUGCGGAUUAAUACCCUAUGCGGUCGUUUUGUGGCAUCAUGUUACGACCAAAGACUCGUCGCUGGCGGAUGGGGAUGCGUAUGAUUAGGUAGUAGGCGGGGUAACGGCCCACCUAGCCAUCGAUCAUUAGGGGUUCUGAGAGGAAGGUCCCCCACACUGGUACUGAGACACGGACCAG